rnacentral:tRNA from 1 species
GCCCGGGUGGCUCAGUGGUAGAGCGUUUCCUUGGUAAGGAAGAGGUCGGCAGUUCGAUCCUGCUCUCGGGCU